rnacentral:rRNA from 1 species
GACGAACGCUGGCGGCGUGCUUAACACAUGCAAGUCGAACGGAAAGGCCCUGGUGUUGUGGGGUGCUCGAGUGGCGAACGGGUGAGUAACAAGUAAGUAACCUGCCCUUGACUUUGGGAUAACUUCAGGAAACUGGGGCUAAUAACGGAUAGGAACUCCUGCUGCAUGGUGGGGGUUGGAAAGUUUCGGCGGUUGGGGAUGGACUCGCGGCUUAUCAGCUUGGUGGUGGGGUAGUGGCUUACCAAGGCUUUGACGGGUAGCCGGCCUGAGAGGGUGACCGGCCACAUUGGGACUGAGAUACGGCCCAGACGCCUACGGGAGGCAGCAGUGGGGAAUAUUGCACAAUGGGCGGAAGCCUGAUGCAGCAACGCCGCGUGCGGGAUGACGGCCUUCGGGUUGUAAACCGCUUUCGCCUGUGACGAAGCGUGAGUGACGGUAAUGGGUAAAGAAGCACCGGCUAACUACGUG